rnacentral:rRNA from 2 species
UACGGAGGGGGCCAGCGUUGUUCGGAAUUAUUGGGCGUAAAGGGCGCGUAGGCGGUCGAGUAAGUCUGACGUGAAAUCCCUUGGCUCAACCAAGGAACUGCGUCUUAAACUGCUCGGCUUGAGUCCGGGAGAGGGUAGUGGAAUUCCCAGUGUAGCGGUGAAAUGCGUAGAUAUUGGGAGGAACACCGGUGGCGAAGGCGGCUACCUGGACCGGUACUGACGCUGAGGCGCGAAAGCUAGGGUAGCAAACAGG